rnacentral:rRNA from 1 species
CAGCCGCCGCGGUAAUACGGAGGGUGCAAGCGUUGUUCGGAAUUACUGGGCGUAAAGCGCGUGUAGGCGGCCUUGCAAGCCAGACGUGAAAGCCCUCGGCUUAACCAGGGAAGUGCGUCUGGAACUGCUCGGCUCGAGUACGGGAGAGGGAGGCGGAAUUCCCAGUGUAGAGGUGAAAUUCGUAGAUAUUGGGAGGAACACCGGUGGCGAAAGCGGCCUCCUGGACCGAUACUGACGCUGAGACGCGAAAGCGUGGGGAGCAAACAGGAUUAGAUACCCUGGUAGUCCACGCCCUAAACGAUGUCAACUAGGUGUUGGGGAAGGUGACUUCCUUAGUACCGCAGCUAACGCGUGAAGUUGACCGCCUGGGGAGUACGGCCGCAAGGUUAAAACUCAAAGGAAUUGACGG